rnacentral:rRNA from 1 species
UACGUAGGGUGCAAGCGUUUAAUCGGAAUUACUGGGCGUAAAGCGUGCGCAGGCGGUUUUGUAAGUCUGUUGUGAAAUCCCCGGGCUCAACCUGGGAAUGGCAAUGGAGACUGCAAGGCUAGAGUUUGGCAGAGGGGGGGUAGAAUUCCACGUGUAGCAGUGAAAUGCGUAGAUAUGUGGAGGAACACCGAUGGCGAAGGCAGCCCCCCUGGGUCAAAAACUGACGCUCAUGCACGAAAAGCGUGGGGGAGCAAAACAGG